rnacentral:rRNA from 1 species
GAAUAUUGGACAAUGGACGGAAGUCUGAUCCAGCCAUGCCGCGUGCAGGAAGACUGCCCUAUGGGUUGUAAACUGCUUUUAUCAGGGAAGAAAAUCCAAUACGUGUAUUGGGUUUCCGGUACCUGAGGAAUAAGCACCGGCUAACUCCGUGCCAGCAGCCGCGGUAAUACGGAGGGUGCGAGCGUUAUCCGGAAUUACUGGGUUUAAAGGGUGCGUAGGCGGCUUAAUAAGUCAGAGGUGAAAGGUGGCAGCUUAACUGUCAAAUUGCCUUUGAAACUGUUGAGCUUGAAUCAAGAUGAGGUUGGCGGAAUGUGACAUGUAGCGGUGAAAUGCAUAGAUAUGUCACGGAACACCGAAUGCGAAGGCAGCUGACUGGACUUCGAUUGACGCUGAGGCACGAAAGCGUGGGGAGCGAACAGG